rnacentral:rRNA from 1 species
AUUGAACGCUGGCGGCAGGCCUAACACAUGCAAGUCGAACGAGUGGCGGACGGGUGAGUAAUGUCUGGGAAACUGCCUGAUGGAGGGGGAUAACUACUGGAAACGGUAGCUAAUACCGCAUACCAUCGGAUGUGCCCAGAUGGGAUUAGCUAGUAGGUGGUUGAAAGGCUCCCCUAGGCGACGAUCCCUAGCUGGUCUGAGAGGAUGAACAGCAACACUGGAACUGAGACACGGUCAAGAGUCCUACGGGAGGCAGCAGUGGGGAGUAUUGCACAAUGGGCGCAAGCCGGAUGCAGACAUGCCGCGUGUAUGAAGAAGGUCUUCGGAUUGUAAAGCACUUUAAGUUGGGAGGCGUUACCAACAGAAUAAGCACCGGCUAACUUCGUGCCAGCAGCCGCGGUAAUAC